rnacentral:rRNA from 1 species
UGGGGAAUUUUGCACAAUGGGGGAAACCCUGAUGCAGCGACGCCGCGUGAUUUAGAAGGCCUUCGGGUUGUAAAAAUCUUUUGUAUGGGAAGAAAAUGACAGUACCAUACGAAUAAGGACCGGCUAAUUACGUGCCAGCAGCCGCGGUAAUACGGAAGGUUCGGGCGUUAUCCGGAUAUAUUGGGUUUAAAGGGAGCGUAGGCCGUUUGGUAAGCGUGUUGUGAAAUGUAGGAGCUCAACUUCUAGAUUGCAGCGCGAACUGUCAGACUUGAGUGCGCACAACGUAGGCGGAAUUCAUGGUGUAGCGGUGAAAUGCUUAGAUAUCAUGAAGAACUCCGAUUGCGAAGGCAGCUUACGGGAGCGCAACUGACGCUGAAGCUCGAAGGUGCGGGUAUCGAACAGG